rnacentral:tRNA from 1 species
GCCUUCGUGGUGUAAUGGUUAAUACACUAGACUCGUAUUCGAGAGGUUCGAGUCCCGGCGAGGGCA